UAAGGAAUCUUCCACAAUGGACGAAAGUCUGAUGGAGCAACGCCGCGUGCAGGAUGACGGUCUUCGGAUUGUAAACUGCUUUUAUAUGGGAAGAUUAUGACGGUACCAUAUGAAUAAGGACCGGCUAACUACGUGCCAGCAGCCGCGGUAAUACGUAGGGUCCAAGCGUUAUCCGGAAUCACUGGGCGUAAAGCGUGCGUAGGUGGCGCGUUAAGUGUGAUGUUAAAUCGCGGGGCUCAACCCUGUCGAUGCAUCGCAUACUGGCAUGCUAGAGGGAAGCAGAGGCAAGUGGAAUUGGUAGUGUAGCAGUGAAAUGCGUAGAUAUUACCAGGAACACCAAUGGCGAAGGCAGCUUGCUGGGCUUCUUCUGACACUGAGGGACGAAAGCGUGGGGAGCGAACAG
rnacentral:rRNA from 1 species